AGCUGUUGCAUUUCUUAGUCUUAAGAUGUUCACUCUGACACUGGAAUUUGAGAAAUGUCUGUUCAUUAAUAGCUUCAAGUUUACAGCAGCCCCUGAAUGCAGCCUUCCAUUCUGAACCCAACAAUUCAAUGGGAUGAACAAGCAACUAAAUCUACAUUAUGGUGGUGGUGUCAGUGAUGGAACAGGCUCCUGCAAAGUCUGACGAAUAUCUUUCCUUGCAGAUAUUCAAAGUGCUACUGGAUGUGACCAGGAGUAACCUGAUUUAACUUUGGCAUUAGCCUUGGUUUGAGUGAGAGAAUGGAGCAGAUCCGAUGACCCCCAGAAGUCCAUCCCCACUUGAAUUUUGCUAUGAUUCUGUAUGGAGACCUCAUUCUCUUGUAAAGACAAAUAAAUGAAAGAAGUUCUUGAGCACUUACUACUGUUCACACUAAAGAAGAUCAUGCAAAUGCCCGAGGACAAACUGCACAUUGGCUUUGGAGAAAGAAGACAUUGGGGAGUGGAUCCCCACAAGCUCCAGGGACCCUCCAUCUCCUCAGACACUCAGGAAAAAAAAAAAAAAAAAAAAAAAAGUAAAGCUCAGUGCCAUGCUUCAAUACAGGAGAAAGCGGAGUGUUGCUGAGCCUACACUACUACUGUUUUAGAAUUUGUCUUUUGACUGCUUUGUGUCAGGCAUUCAAUAUUAACUUCUUGACAACAAAAACACAACAAAUUGGGUAAGUAACUUUUUAUAGCAUGUACAGACAUUCCUCAAAACAUAAGCAUAGGAAAAGAAACCGCUAAGGUAGAAGGACAGACUGUAAUUUCUCACACAAGUUUCAGACAUUCACAAGAAGUGACAUUAGAAUUUGCAGCACCAUAAGGGCUUUGGGAAUGCUCAAAAGCAUUGGUAGCAGAGAAAACAGAAGAGAAUAUGAAUCAUAUUAGUGUCUAUCAUUGGUUAUUUUAUUUCACAUUGUGCUUCCAGAAUUCUUCCUUGUGAGACAUCAAGAUAUUGAUUUAAAUCUCUAUCUCAAUUUGCUAAUACUCAUUAAAUUCUAAAAAAUUAAAAGGCUGGAUGCCUUAGAACCAGGAGAUGGAAAUAAAUUAAUACCUGUGGAUACA
rnacentral:lncRNA from 1 species